GACGAACGCUGGCGGCGUGCCUAAUACAUGCAAGUCGAGCGAAGUUUUUCUGGUGCUUGCACUAGAAAAACUUAGCGGCGAACGGGUGAGUAACACGUGAAGAACCUGCCUCAUAGACUGGGACAACUAUUGGAAACGAUAGCUAAUACCGGAUAACAGUAUUUCUCGCAUGAGAGAUAUUUAAAAGUUGGUUAUGCUAACACUAUGAGAUGGCUUUGCGGUGCAUUAGCUAGUUGGUGGGGUAAAGGCCCACCAAGGCGACGAUGCAUAGCCGACCUGAGAGGGUGAUCGGCCACACUGGGACUGAGACACGGCCCAGACUCCUACGGGAGGCAGCAGUAGGGAAUCUUCCGCAAUGGGCGAAAGCCUGACGGAGCAACGCCGCGUGAGUGAAGAAGGAUUUCGGUUCGUAAAGCUCUGUUGUUAGGGAAGAAUGGAUAUGUAGUAACUAUACAUGUAAGAGACGGUACCUAACCAGAAAGCCACGGCUAACUACGUG
rnacentral:rRNA from 1 species